UUGCCUUGAUACGAGCUGAAUAUGUUGAACCGACAAGGAAGGUCUAAUAUUAGGCUCAGAGUGAAACUAUGGAAGACAUAAUUAAGCGUACAAAAAAUAAAACAUUCCUAAAAUUUGGAAGCAAAUAAUAGAGUUUCUUUAAAAACUAAAUGUAAAAGGGAAAACUAAGAUCUAUUCUAAGGAUACCUAGUAGCUUCCCUACCUUGCCACCUAUCACUCUUCUCCAUGCC
rnacentral:lncRNA from 1 species